rnacentral:rRNA from 1 species
GUGGCGCACGGGUGAGUAGCGCGUAGGUAACCUACCUCUGUAUUGGGGAUAACCCGCGAAAGCGGGGCUAAUACCGGAUGAGACCCUGGGAUGGUGGUCUUGGGGUGAAAGCGGGCCUCUCGAAGAAGCUCGCGUACGGGGAUGGGCCUGCGUCCUAUCAGCUAGUUGGUGGGGUAAUGGCCUACCAAGGCGACGACGGGUAGCUGGUCUGAGAGGAUGAUCAGCCACACUGGCACUGGAACACGGGCCAGACUCCUACGGGAGGCAGCAGUGAGGAAUUUUGCGCAAUGGGAGCAAUCCUGACGCAGCAACGCCGCGUGGGUGAAGAAGGCCUUCGGGUCGUAAAGCCCUGUCAGGUGGGAAGAAAGGCACAUGGUUGAACAGGCUGUGUGUUUGACGGUACCACCAGAGGAAGCACCGGCUAACUCCGUGCCAGCAGCCGCGGUAAUACGGAGGGUGCGAG